rnacentral:rRNA from 1 species
UACGUAGGGUCCGAGCGUUGUCCGGAAUUAUUGGGCGUAAAGAGCUCGUAGGCGGUUUGUUGCGUCGGCCGUGAAAACCUGCAGCUUAACUGUGGGCCUGCGGCCGAUACGGGCAGACUUGAGUUCGGUAGGGGAGACUGGAAUUCCUGGUGUAGCGGUGAAAUGCGCAGAUAUCAGGAGGAACACCGGUGGCGAAGGCGGGUCUCUGGGCCGAUACCGACGCUGAGGCGCGAAAGCUAGGGGAGCAAACGGG